rnacentral:misc_RNA from 1 species
GAUGAAGAACGUAGCGAAAUGCGAUAAGUAAGUGAAUUGCAGAAUUCAGUGAAUCAUCGAAUCUUUGAACGCACAUUGCGCCCCCUGGUAUUCCGGGGGGCAUGCCUGUCCGAGCGUCAUUACAACCCUCAAGCUCAGCUUGGUGUUGGGCCCCGCCGCCCCGGCGGGCCCUAAAGUCAGUGGCGGUGCCGUCCGGCUCCGAGCGUAGUAAUUCUUCUCGCUCUGGAGGUCCGGUCGUGUGCUCGCCAGCAACCCCCAAUUUUUUUCAGGUUGACCUCGGAUCAGGUAGGGAUACCCGCUGAACUUAAGCAUAUCAAUAAGCGGAGGA